rnacentral:rRNA from 1 species
CAAUAGCGUAUAUUAAAGUUGUUGCGGUUAAAAAGCUCGUAGUUGGAGUUCUGCCAGGUGCCGCCUGUCCGCCCCAGUGGUGAGUACGUGGCGCGCAUUUGGCCCUUUCAAGGGGAGCGUAUCUGCACUUUAUUGUGUGGUGCGGGAUCCUUGACUUUUACUUUGAGGAAAUAGGAGUGUUCCAAGCAGGCUCUCGUCGUGCACAGCUCAGCAUGGAAUAAUAGCAUUGGACCUCGAUUCUAAGCUGUUGGUUGCCAGAAGCGAGGUAAUGAUGAAGAGGGAUAGUUGGGGGCAUUCGUAUUUAACUGUCAGAGGUGAAAUUCUUGGAUUUAUGAAAGACGAACUACUGCGAAAGCAUUUGCCAAGGAUGUUUUCAUUAA